rnacentral:rRNA from 1 species
GAGUGACCGCUGGCGGUAGGCCUACCCCAUGCAAGUCGAACGGCAGCCCAGGAGAGCUUGCUCUCUGGGUGGCGAGUGGCGGACGGGUGAGGAAUACAUCGGAAUCUGCCCAGUCGUGGGGGAUAACGUAGGGAAACUUACGCUAAUACCGCAUACGACCUUCGGGUGAAAGAGGGGGAUCGCAAGACCUCUCGCGAUUGGAUGAGCCGAUGUCGGAUUAGCUAGUUGGCGGGGUAAUGGCCCACCAAGGCGACGAUCCGUAGCUGGUCUGAGAGGAUGAUCAGCCACACUGGAACUGAGACACGGUCCAGACUCCUACGGGAGGCAGCAGUGGGGAAUAUUGGACAAUGGGCGCAAGCCUGAUCCAGCCAUACCGCGUGGGUGAAGAAGGCCUUCGGGUUGUAAAGCCCUUUUGUUGGGAAAGAAAUCUUUCAGGCUAAUACCCUGGGAGGAUGACGGUACCCAAAGAAUAAGCACCGGCUAACUUCGUG